GGUACUUUAUGUAUAUAUCUUCUAUAUACUCGUAUUCAUUAAUUAUAUAUAUAUACAUAUGUAUGUAUACACAGCAUAUUAUAAUUAUACUUCAAUACAGAAAAUAAUUAUAAUUAUGUAUACUAUACAUUCAUCCUGCAAACGAAUAUAUGUAUAUUAUGCUAUGUUGUAUCCAAAAUUGACUGGGUUUUGAAGAUACUUCCAAGUGUAAUAAUAAUAAUAAUCCAUUUUAUGUCUUCGCGACGAUUUUAAGUUUUCUCUUCUAUUUUUCUCUUUCUUCUUUUGUUCCUCCCGUUGUGCCGUUUUGGUAUUUUGUUUACUUGUAGUUGUAUAUAUAUAUAAAUAUAUGUAUAUAUUAUAUAUUUAUAUUUGCUGUUGUUUUUGUUGUUGUUACUGUUGUUAUUGUGAUAGUGUUUUAACUUUUAACUUCUUUCAUCGAUUGGGAGAAAGUAAGAGAGAAGGGAUUCUAAUACUGAUUUUGAUAGUAAAAAUAUAUAGUAAUAACAGGUGUGUUGUGUGUGAUUUUUUUUAAUGAAUUAGAUAGAUAGAAAGAUAGAUAGAUAGAUAGAUAGAUAGAUAGAUAGAUAGAUAGAUAGAUAGAUAGAUAGAUAGAUAGAUAGUUAGAUGGGUAACUAAUUUGGGAAUGAAUGAAAUUAACAAUUCUUUGAGCGGGAGGGUGCGAUGAGUUGCGAAUAAUUUAUAAAUAUGAAAUGUUAAAUAAGAAACGUUAUCAACUAUAUACACACAAAAAUUACAAUCUAAAAGAUCAGAUGCUACAGAACUUAUAUUGUGUUUGUUUCGACUCACCGAAAUUCAAAUAAGGAAACACACACAACAAGUAUGAUUAUAUAUACAUAUAUAUAGAAAAAGAUAUAGAUAUAUAUAUAUUGUACAUAUGUGUGCGUGCGUGCGUGUGGUAUGUGUAUGAGUGAUUAUACGUGUACGAUGUGUUUGCUUAUGGGGGAAAGAAGAGAAAAAGUAAAGAAUUAGCAGAUUAAACUACAUAGAUGUUUAAAGACAUAUAUACGCGCACGCACGCGCUUGUGUGUGAGAGUGUACACGUAAAUAAGAGUAUGAGAAAAGCAUAUAUUUAUGUGUGUAUGUGUAUAUAUAUAUAUAUAUAUAUAUAUAUGUGUGUGUGUAUGUAUAUGUUAUAUGUGUGUGUAUUUCUGUGAUUGUGUGUGUAUGUGCGUUUGUACGCUUACAUAUGCAGAUAUAUAGGUGUGUGUGUGAAGUGUAUAUCUUUUUCCGAUAGGUACGGUAUGAGGUCAGCUUUUUCGUCUCUUAUGAUUUUGCCUGUGUAACUUUUCCAUACGCCGUUCAGUUUGAGGUAUUUUCAUAGACAUAUAUAAUAUAUAUUAUAUCUAUAGAUAUAUAUAUAUAUAUAUAUUUAAAUAAAUAUAAACGUAUACAUAUAUAUAUAAUGAGAGAGAGAUAAAUAGACAGAUAGAUAUUUAUGCAUGUAAAUAUAUAUAUAUUUUAUAUUGUCAUAUUAUACAUAUAUAUAAACACGCACACAAUAUUUAACUGUUUGGAACAUCUUUCGCAUUUUGGACCCUGAUUUUAUUGCAGCGAGAUGUUGUUCUCUCUCUCUCUCUCCUUCUCUUACUUCCUCCCUCUCUCACUCUCUCCCUCUCUCUCUCUCUCUCUCUCACACUCUCUCUGUAACUAUCCUUGUUAUUCUUUUGGUCUCAUCUUGCUUUGCUUAAUAUAAGCGAGCGGUACUCCUACUUCUUUGCAGACGUUCUUCUGUCCGCUUUCUGCACUGGCGAUGCUGGUGCCGGUGGCUUUCUGUGUGUGCCGUUUGCUCGAUGGUAACGGUAACAAGACGGGCGGGGGGGGAGUAGAGUGGAGAGGGGGGGUGAUGAUGAGAGGGGAGAGGGGAGCAGUGGAAGAACAAGAACAAGAACAAGAAGAAGACAACAGAAAGAAGGUAAGGUAGAAGAAGCGAAUGGGGAGCAAAAACAGUGAGCUUAGAAAGCGAACGAGAGAGAGAGAGAGAGAGAGAGAGCGAACGAGCGAAAUAGAGAGAAGAGGUAAGGUGAUAGAAAUAAUGGUACUGGUGGUUCUCGACGUUGUAGUUGGUUGAUGGUUGGUUGGUGGUGGUGGGGGAGGGGGAGCGGGAGCGGACGUGGUGGGCUAAGGCGGGCAAAGCCGGUGAUCGGGAAGAGGGGGCGGCGGCGGCGAAGGAAAGACAGGGGGGUAGUAAUAUAAAGAAGAAAAAU
rnacentral:lncRNA from 1 species